CAGCGAUGUCUUCCCCAAUGUCCAUAUACUGGAAAGGCAACAUAAAACAUGAUUAUCCGUUCUAAUUAUUUCAACGAAAUUUCAUAUUUGUAACCGCACCGAUAAACAACCGCCGUUUUGCACGUUGAAACAGACCAUGCCGCGGAAUGGCGAGAUAAAUCUCGUUAAAUCAUGCAUGAUUAAUAUCUUAAUAAUUAACCUUCUUCUGUACGCCAUAUUCUGUAAUUUUGACAUCUGGCUACUACGUGUGCGUAACUGCCGUGUAUUUUUCUUUCAUUGUUACCACGUUUUAUAUGUACGAAAGAACGUGCCUUCACGGUUUACAUUUAUAUAAUGUAAAUAUGUACGCAACCCGUAAAUCAAAUUUACUGCUAUGCUCUUAACUUUUAUUUAACAUUCGUAAUUUAAAACGCGUGUGUUAUGGUUUUCUUGAUAAGGGACAAUGGUACUCUCCGUUACGGUUCGUUUAAAUUUCUUCGCUUUUCGCGCCAAUUCCGUGCGCGUGAUAAUCCUACACGACUAAAGCAAUUUACAAACAGUUCAAAAUCUUCUUUGAGAAAUAAAUGAUUCCCCCAGAGCAUCUUAUCUGUCUGUAUAUUCGGAACCAGUAUUCACUGGUUAUAUCUACAAUUUAACCGAAUGAAAAGCUGGUUAUGUUCUGUCUGAUCCGCCGGGUCAAAAUGUCACGUGGUCAAACAAAUUUCUCACUAAAUCCGGUAAUUUUUCUGGCAGAUGUAAUUCACGCCGUUAUAACAGGAACAAUAUUUAAACAUUUGCGAUUAAUUAAGUGGGUGACUGUUACGUAGAACACACAGAAAGAGUAAUGUGACCUUCGAAGUCAAUCGGCUUUUAAACAAUCGGUGAAAAGUCACUAGGUGCAGCCUGAUAAUUACGAAACCAAAAGCGUAAGUACGAGGAAAAAAUGUUUAGUAAGCUUUUUUAUAGACACGUUAAUGUGUUAUAAUGGAUGGACGAGGCCAGGUAAGUAAACAAUGUCACGAUAAUUCAAUAGUAAAUUAACGUCAGUAAAAAUUAGUUAAUCGUCGAUUGAACAUUAUAUUUGUCUAUACUUAUUUAAAGGUAGACGCCAGACAAUAUACUUAACACGCGUGCGAUAUAAUAAAUGUUUAGUUCCAAAUUUGAACACAUUAAAGUACUAUGGAAAUUGUAAGUGAAACAACUAUCUCAAUGGGAAUGUCGAAUAAAGUUGCUCGCCUUGAUACAAAAAAUACUGGAACGGUAAUGAAAAAAAAAUGUCACUUUUGAAUUUUUUCCGCGUACAAAGAAAUAUCGGGCAUAAAAAACAGGAAAAGUUCAAAGAAGCCUUGACGUUGGUAGGUUUCAUUGAAUUAGUUUUUGAACUUGUACAUCUUCGAUUGAUUACACAAGCAUUUUUUAUCGAUUCCUUUUGGGUUAAAAAACAGCUUAUACAAGCAAAAAAACUAAUUCGAAUGCACAUAGAGGUAUAACAGAAAUUACGGUUAUUUCCAACACAACCUGAUAGUAAAAGCGAGGAUGCCUGUGGUCACGAGACUCAACCGAUUAUUUUGAUCCUGGCUGACAAGGCGGACCAGAAACUCAGCAACCAGACUGAAGCCGGCUGUAUUCGAUUCAAAUUGUCGCGCGCUUUAUCAUAACUACACGUCACUCUUUAACUAAUAAAAAAAUAGAAAAGAAUGUCGAACAAUUGUUUGCAAAAAGGUUGAAUAACAAGUGCAUUUUUUUAAUUUCAUCCAAGUUCUUUCCAGAACAUUUGAAAUUCCCGCCAUUUUAAAAUAACAAGGCACUUAUGAUACCGCAAUUUUUUAAAUCUGUUCAAACUUAUGUAAGACGUAACAAAGCAUGCUUUAUCAUUCAUAAAAAACAAAUUGAAAUAAUGACGGUUGAAAUUUACGAGGAAAUCGAUAUCAGAACUCAAGUGUCAGAUAACAAUCGUCCGGUUACUGGUUACAAUAACUAUACGCAUAUUGUGCCUGUUAAUGACGCACAUAAAACUCACUUCACAAUUUUAUUAAAUAACUAUUUUAUUUAAGGAAAAAAAAAAAACAGAAAAUGAAUAAAAAAUUCCAACAAAAAAUAUCUUUUUUUAUAUUAGAAAUCUCGGAUUUCUAAAUAAUAUUCUACACAGUAAAGAUUUCUCUCUUUUUUAUGUUUAUGAAUAUGUAAACGUACGAUAUUUCUGUUUAUGAAUCUCAGGAGCGUCAAAAUUUUCCAACGUAUGAACUGAUAAGUAUUAGAUAUAUGAACUGUCAUUUCGCGACUUGCUACGAGUUUUUAAAAUUAAGUUCCAAUAAAUAUUGUAUAAUAAUCAAUAA